GGUAACAGCCUGGACAGGUCCAUCACAGGACCCAAAAUGAACCUUAUCACCUGCCAUCAUGAAAGAAAAGUCCUAUUUUAAAGAUCCUGGAAGACAAUGUCCAGUCCAGCCUCACCUGCAUCAUCCGGUCACUGCAUCACGUGCUCCUGCCGCAGCCUGUCAGCAUCAGACAAGUCUCCCCAUAUAAAGCCCUUCAUCUUCCUGCCCACCA